rnacentral:rRNA from 1 species
CCUACGGGAGGCAGCAGUAGGGAAUUUUCGUCAAUGGGCGCAAGCCUGAACGAGCAAUGCCGCGUGAACGAGGAAGGUCUUCGGAUUGUAAAGUUCUUUUGAUGGGGAAAAAGAGCGGAGAGCGGAAAUGCUCUCCGAUUGACAUUACCCUUAGAGGAAGUCACGGCUAACUCCGGGCCAGCAGCCGCGGUAAUACGUAGGUUGCCAGCGUUAUUCGGAAUGAUUGGGCGUAAAGGGGACGUAGGCGGCCUGUCAAGUCCUGUGUGAAAUGUGCGGGCUUAACCCGGGACAUGCAUUGGAAACUGGCAGGCUAGAGAGCAGGAGAGGGCGGUAGAACUCCAGGUGUAGCGGUAAAAUGCGUAGAGAUAUGGAAGAAUACCAGUGGCGAAGGCGGCCGCCUGGCCUAUGACUGACGCUGAGGCACGAAAGCGUGGGGAGCAAAUAGGAUUAGAUACCCGUGUAGUC